AUUGAACGCUGGCGGCAUGCUUUACACAUGCAAGUCGAACGGUAACAGGGUGCUUGCACCGCUGACGAGUGGCGAACGGGUGAGUAAUGCGUCGGAACGUGCCGAGUAGUGGGGGAUAACGCAGCGAAAGUUGUGCUAAUACCGCAUACGUACUGAGGUAGAAAGUGGGGGACCUUCGGGCCUCACGCUAUUCGAGCGGCCGACGUCGGAUUAGCUAGUAGGUGAGGUAAAGGCUCACCUAGGCGACGAUCAGUAGCGGGUCUGAGAGGAGGAUCCGCCACACGGGGACUGAGACACGGCCCAGACUCCUACGGGAGGCAGCAGUGGGGAAGUUUGGACAAUGGGCGAAAGCCUGAUCCAGCCAUGCCGCGUGUCUGAAGAAGGCCUUCGGGUUGUAAAGGACUUUUGUCGGGGAGGAAAUCCCCAGCGUUAAUACCGCUGGGGGAUGACAGUACCUGAAGAAUAAGCACCGGCUAACUACGUGCCAGCAGCCGCCGCAGUAA
rnacentral:rRNA from 1 species